ensembl:misc_RNA Y_RNA Y RNA
GGCUGGUCCGAGUGCAGUGGUGUUUACAACUAAUUGAUCACAACCAGUUACAGAUUUCUUUGUUCCUUCUCCACUCCCACUGCUUCACUUGACUAUAAA